GAGUACAGGAGAGGAUAGCGGAAUUCCCGGUGUAGAGGUGAAAUUCGUAGAUAUCGGGAAGGAACACAAGAGGCGAAGGCGGCUAUCUGGACUGUAACUGACGCUGAUGAGCGAAAGCGUGGGUAGCGAACAGGAUUAGAUACCCUGGUAGUCCACGCUGUAAACGAUGAGUGCUAGACGUCGGGUGUAUUAACACAUUCGGUGUCGCAGUUAACGCGCUAAGCACUCCGCCUGGGGAGUACGGCCGCAAGGCUAAAACUCAAAGGAAUUGACGGGGGCCCGCACAAGCGGUGGAGCAUGUGGUUUAAUUCGAUGCAACGCGAAGAACCUUACCUGGGUUGGAACCCCCUGGAAUUCAUCAGAGAAGGUGAAGUGCCUUAUUUUAAGGAGCCGGGUGUUCAGGUGCUGCAUGGCUGUCGUCAGCUCGUGUCGUGAGAUGUUGGGUUAAGUCCCGCAACGAGCGCAACCCUUGUUGCUAGUUACUAACAGGUAAAGCUGAGGACUCUAGCGAGACUGCCGGUGGUAAACCGGCCCAAGGUGGGGAUGACGUCAAGUCCUCAUGGCCUUUAUGUCCAGGGCUACACACGUGCUACAAUGGCUGAUACAGAGGGCAGCGAUCCCGUGAGGGUUAGCAAAUCCUUUAAAGUCAGCCAUAGUUCGGAUUGCAGUCUGCAACUCGACUGCAUGAAGCUGGAAUCGCUAGUAAUCGCGGAUCAGCACUCCCUCGGUGAUACGUUCCCGGGCAUUGUACACACCGCCCGUCACACCAUGGAAGUUGGUGCUCCAGAAGUGGCUAAACUACCAAUGUGGAUGGAA
rnacentral:rRNA from 1 species